UCCCAUAACGCCGGGAUCACGUCCUGAGCUGAAGGAAGACGCUUAACCGCUGUGCCACCCAGGAAUCCUGAAAGUUCUGGCAUAGGGAUGCGCUCCUCCAAUGAGACGUGAGUUUGCUUCUGCCAAGUACUGUGAAGUACCUUCAAAUUGGGACCACUUUUAGUUCAUCGUGCAGCUCAGGGGAUCCCGGAUCCUGCAGCUAGGAUAAAUGCGGCUUCUGAAGCUGCGCUCUUCUCCCUGUGAGCUGCUGAAGUACGCAUGAAUGGAGAGGCGUAUGCAAGAAAGGAGACUGUUUGGAUCAUCCUCUUACUUAGGAAGUCCUUUAGGCACAGAAUGCUUAAAACCAGUUGUUUAAAAAUUACAUUGCCUCAAGUAUGAACGCCCAGCCUUGUGACCCUACCCUUGGUUCACUCUGUUCCCUCCUUUUGUAAAAUGAUUCCCAAUUUUCAAGUCCUUCCCAGAACCAGGAUCUGCCAUCGGCUCUUCUUCUGACUACCGGCCCUCAUUUACGUCCUGUGAUCCCGAGGUCCUUGUGCAACCUUUUUUGGACCUCUGCUGCUUGGUCAAUGACAUGAAUAGCUUGGUGGAGUGGCUCUUCUAAUUCAGGUCUAUGGAGAUUCCUGCUGCCUUUUUAACGGAUGGCAUGACAUUUAGUGCUUAGUUACUCAUUCUCUUUGUACUGAACCUUAAAGCUUUUACAGGUUAGCCUUGGCCUCACGCUGAUAUUUUUAAGUUCCAGUUGAUGUCCAUGUCUGAUCCCAUUGGAAUCUGUAGGACAAGAUAUGGCCAUCUGUGUGCUGAGUACAGAGUAGGUACUAAGUGACUGGUAGCUGUCCCACGUAUUUGCUGUCUUACAUUUCCCGUUAUCUUCUCUAAGAUUUCCAUCCAAACCAUCCAAUACUUAAUUUUAAGGGUCUUAAUUCUAGUCCGUUAACUUGUGAAACCCCAGAUUUCUGCCUCCCUGGUGCAUGGGUGCCACCUAGUGGGAAACAAUGGCAACUGUAGGCUGCUCAGGGCCAUGCCCUUUCCCCCAGGCUCUUAGAGUAAUUCAAGAGGUCAGGAAGUAAGCGAUAUGGCUAGAACCCUGCCGCCCUUACACAUAGUACUGUAGGCUGGACUCUGCACGGCUGCGUACAAAGGUGGCUGAUCCGUGCUCUGCGGCUCCAAGGUCCUUGUCCCAAGGGCCUUUCCUGGCUAGUGUUAGAGGUAGGUUCACUCCAUAAGACCCGCCUUAUUUUUUGUACCCUAUCCGUUGAUCCCAAUAUUGCGUUGCUCUGUCAUUGUUUUUUGGCUGUAAGGCAGGAUUCUUAGUUACAAGUGAAAGAAACCCAAUUCAGACUUUUUUUUUUUUUUUUUUUUUUUUUUUUAAGCUAGCAAAGGGAGUUGAUCAGCUUAUGUAGCUGGAAAACCUAGGGUUGGGUUGGCUUCGGGCAUGUUGGGAACAUUUCCUCUGAACUGAGCUUACUCGUUAUUUAAUGGCACUUGUUUUCCACAGGGCACCCACCCAUUACCCUCUCCCCUUUUUGCUUUCCCCUCCAAAUCCUGCAAAAGUACUGGGAUUUACUAUUUUUGGGGCCAUGUAUCAAUCUUUGAACCAGUUACAGUGUACCGGGUGGGGGGAGAAAAGUUGAACUCUGGCCAGGUCUCGAUCACCUGCCCACCCCAAUCCCAUGAACUGAAAGAGGGAAGGGGAUUAUUUCCUAAAGGAAAAUGGAAGUAUGAUCUCCAAAAGGAGGAUUGGGUGCUAGACCGGUGAAAAGAACCCCUGUCUGUGCUGUUGGCUAACAUGUCGUUUGCUCGGUUACGUGCCAGUGUUUGCACAUUGCUAGGUAUCCAAUAUGCCCUUAAUCAUUACUGGCUGAACGAGGGGUCGGGGAGAAGGGAGGCCAGUGAGCCGCCACAAAGCCACCAGGUACCUGGGGGAAGGGUAGAAUAUUAAGGAUCUGUCAUGUGGGUGAAUUCAGAAACCACUCUGUUGUAGUUCUAAAACAGUCCCAAAUAUU